rnacentral:tRNA from 1 species
GCCUGGGUGGCUCAGUCUGUUAAGCAUCUGAUUUUGGCUCAGGUCAUGAUCUCAUGGUUCGUGAGUUCGAGUCUCACAUUGGGUG